rnacentral:rRNA from 1 species
CCUACGGGAGGCAGCAGUAGGGAAUUUUCCACAAUGGGCGAAAGCCUGAUGGAGCAAUACCGCGUGCAGGAUGAAGGCCUUCGGGUCGUAAACUGCUUUUAUGUGCGAAGAAUUUGACGGUAACACAUGAAUAAGGAUCGGCUAACUACGUGCCAGCAGCCGCGGUCAUACGUAGGAUCCAAGCGUUAUCCGGAAUUACUGGGCGUAAAGAGUUGCGUAGGUGGCAUUAUAAGUGGAGCGUGAAAGCGUGCGGCUCAACCGCAUUAUUGCGUUCCAAACUGUGAAGCUUGAGUAUGGGAGAGGUAGAUGGAAUUUCUAGUGUAGGAGUGAAAUCCGUAGAUAUUAGAAGGAACACCGAUGGCGUAGGCAGUCUACUGGCCCAUUACUGACACUAAGGCACGAAAGCGUGGGGAGCAAACGGGAUUAGAUACCCCGGUAGUCCACGCUGUAAACUAUGGAUGCUAGCUGUGACACACAUCGACCUGUGUCGUAGCGAAGUUAACGCGUUAAGCAUCCCGCCUGGGGAGUACGGUCGCAAGAUUAAAACUCAAAGGAAUUGAGG